UGGGGAAUAUUGCACAAUGGGCGAAAGCCUGAUGCAGCGACGCCGCGUGCGGGAUGAAGGCCUUCGGGUUGUAAACCGCUUUUAAUUGGGAGCAAGCGAGAGUGAGUGUACCUUUUGAAUAAGCACCGGCUAACUACGUGCCAGCAGCCGCGGUAAUACGUAGGGCGCAAGCGUUAUCCGGAAUUAUUGGGCGUAAAGAGCUCGUAGGCGGUUUGUCACGCCUGGUGUGAAAGUCCAUUGCUUAACGGUGGAUCUGCGCCGGGUACGGGCAGGCUAGAGUGCAGUAGGGGAGAUUGGAAUUCCCGGUGUAACGGUGGAAUGUGUAGAUAUCGGGAAGAACACCAAUGGCGAAGGCAGAUCUCUGGGCUGUUACUGACGCUGAGGAGCGAAAGCAUGGGGAGCGAACAGGAUUAGAUACCCUGGUAGUCCAUGCCGUAAACGGUGGAUGCUGGAUGUGGGACCCUUCCACGGGUUCCGUGUCGGAGCUAACGCGUUAAGCAUCCCGCCUGGGGAGUACGGCCGCAAGGCUAAAACUCUAAAGUGAAUU
rnacentral:rRNA from 1 species